UAUGUGAUCGUCUCUCGCAUAUCAAUAAGCGGAGGAAAAGAAACUAACAAGGAUUCCCCUAGUAACGGCGAGUGAAGCGGGAAGAGCUCAAAUUUGAAAUCUUAAAGGGUUUCCCUUUACGAAUUGUAGUUUAAAGAGGUGUUUUCUGUUGAGGUUUUGGUAAAAGUUCUUUGGAAUAGGACAUCAUAGAGGGUGAGAAUCCCGUAUUUGACCUUUACUUUCAACUUUGUGACACACUUUCAAAGAGUCGGAUUGUUUGGGAAUGCAGUCCAAAAUGGGUGGUAAAUUUCAUCUAAAGCUAAAUAUUGGCGAGAGACCGAUAGCGAACAAGUACCGUGAGGGAAAGAUGAAAAGAACUUUGAAAAGAGAGUUAAACAGUACGUGAAAUUGUCAAAAGGGAAGCGUUUGACACCAGUGUUGUUUUUCUGAAAAUCAAUUAAAGAACUGUUUAUGCUAAGUUGUUUAGACUUUAUCAGCUAUCUGCUUAGUUUUGAGCUUUUCUUUAAUGCACUUUUCAGUUAACAAGUCAACAUCAAUUUCUUUUGCUGUAAAAAAGCUUGAGGAAGGUGGCUUGAGAUUCGUCUUAAGUGUUUAUAGCCUCUUGCCUAUGCAGUCGGAGAGAUUGAGGUCUGCAGCGUAGAUCCUUCGGGGCUAAAUGCAUUUGUGCUAAGUUAUAGCAUUUUAUAGACAACUUGUUGACUAUGAUUUGUCUUGUAGCUUACUCGCUUAUGUUAUUUUACCUACGCUUAGGAUGUUGAGUCGUAGAGCACGCAG
rnacentral:rRNA from 1 species